rnacentral:rRNA from 1 species
UUGGAGGGCAAGUCUGGUGCCAGCAGCCGCGGUAAUUCCAGCUCCAAUAGCGUAUAUUAAAGUUGUUGCAGUUAAAAAGCUCGUAGUUGAAUUUCGGGGUCAGUAGGUCGGUCGUGCCACUGGUAUGAACUGGUUUUACUGAUUCCUCCCUCUUGAAGAACUGUAAUGCCAUUAAUUUGGUGUUGCAGGGAAUCAGGACUGUUACUUUGAAAAAAUUAGAGUGUUUAAAGCAGGCUUUAGCUUGGAUACAUUAGCAUGGAAUAAUUAAAUAGGACGUUUGAUCCUAUUUUGUUGGUUUCUAGGAUUGACGUAAUGAUUAAUAGGGAUAGUUGGGGGCAUUAGUAUUCAAUUGUCAGAGGUGAAAUUCUUGGAUUUAUUGAAGACUAACUACUGCGAAAGCAUUUGCCAAGGAUGUUUUCAUUAAUCAAGAACGAAAGUUAGGGGAUCGAAGACGAUCAGAUACCGUCGUAGUCUUAACCAUAAACUAUGCCGACUAGGGAUCGGAUGAUGUUAAUUUUUUAAUGACUCAUUCGGCGCCUUACGGGAAAC